CCUACGGGAGGCAGCAGUGGGGGAUAUUGCACAAUGGGGGAAACCCUGAUGCAGCGACGCCGCGUGUAGGAAGACGGUCCUCUGGAUUGUAAACUACUGUCCCCAGGGACGAAGAUGACGGUACCGGGGGCGGAAGCUCCGGCUAACUACGUGCCAGCAGCCGCGGUAAUACGUAGGCAGAGAGCGUUGUCCGGAAUUACGGGGUGUAAAGGGAGCGUAGGCGGGGAUGCAAGUCUGGUGUAAAAUCUACCGGCUCAACUGGUAGUCGCACUCAAAACUGCAGCUCUUGAGUGAAGUAGAGGCAGGCGGAAUUCCUAGUGUAGCGGUGAAAUGCGUAGAUAUUAGGAGGAACACCAGUGGCGAAGGCGGCCUGCUGGGCUUUUACUGACGCUGAGGCUCGAAAGUGUGGGGAGCAAACAGGAUUAGAUACCCCAGUAGUC
rnacentral:rRNA from 1 species